GGGCCUGUAGCUCAGGGGUUAGAGCAGACGACUCAUAAUCGUUUGGUCGUGGGUUCGAAACCCACCGGGCCCA
rnacentral:tRNA from 3 species